rnacentral:ncRNA from 1 species
AUUAACCACUCUGGAGAGCGUGCUUGCACCACCGAAGGGAACAAGUGGGUGAUUUGAUUUGACAACUGACAAAUCACCUGACGAAAAUCUCAGGUAACAGGACAGAUGGGGUGUU